AACCAUCCUUGGUCAUUUAAAACAGAACCCUUAAAUAAACACAGCUUCAAAGUAACCCAGCACUAGAAGCAGAAGUUUUCACAUGAAAGGUCGAUGUGCAGAUGAACACAAGUACACUGCCAAGAUUUACUGCAGAGAAAGUAGUAAACAGAACAGCUUACAGCACCUUUGGGGUUAUACAGUUCUCUCCUUUGUCUCCAGCAUUUGCAGAUGAUCUCCACACAUGUUGUCAUUUAACAUCCACCCACUCCCACCUUUUUUUUGGCCCAAGCCAGUCGGGAAGACCUCAGGCAGGCUGUGUCCGGGAUUGCUGUUCUACCAAAUGCUCCAGGAGCAGCAUGAAAGGGGGGAGCUGGAGGUCCUGCUCCACAGCACUGGCACCAGCCAGCACUUCCAGACGCCCUGAGCUGUGCAACCCCAAGGAUAUGAACCACACAUGGAAGUCUCAUGCUUUAUAAAAAGAUAGAGAAACCAGAAGGACCCCAUACAACAUGCAGGACCUGUUUGGGAGCUGCCUCCUGAAGGAUUAGAUCUUGCACUCGGCUGCAGUCCUGUGUUCCGCUGCCUUGUGUAACGUCAGGUUACUGAAGACUUGUACACCGACCUGCAAACUCCAGCCAGACCUUCCAGAGGAUGUGCUCAGUGAAACACCACAUU